rnacentral:rRNA from 1 species
UGGGGGAUAUUGCACAAUGGGGGGAACCCUGAUGCAGCGACGCCGCGUGGGUGAAGGAGCGCUCCGGCGCGUAAAGCCCUAUCGGCAGGGAAGAAAAGGCCCCUAGGGGCCGGACGGUACCUGACUAAGAAGCCCCGGCUAACUACGUGCCAGCAGCCGCGGUAAUACGUAGGGGGCGAGCGUUAUCCGGAUUUACUGGGUGUAAAGGGAGCGUAGACGGCUAUGCAAGCGCGGAGUGGAAUCCCAGGGCUUAACCAUGGGGCCGCUCUGGGAACUGCAUGGCUGGAGUGCAGGAGGGGUAAGAGGAAUUCCUGGUGUAGCGGUGAAAUGCGUAGAUAUCAGGAGGAACACCGGUGGCGAAGGCGUCUUACUGGACUGCGACUGACGUUGAGGCUCGAAAGCGUGGGGAGCGAACAGG